rnacentral:misc_RNA from 1 species
CGAGGGAGAGAAGAGAAGUGGUGUUUGUGGUUAGUUUAGUGGUUUUUCCCAGGUUAAUUUGGGUUCGCAUUUAUUAGUACCGUGAUGAAUUUGUUGCUGGAUUAUCUAAACCAUGUUUUCUUUUGAAGAAUUUUGAGAUUCUAUUCUUUUGCUUGGUUUGGGAUGAUUUCCUUUUUUGAUUGUUAGCUGUUUGAUGCUAUGCCUUAAUGAAUAAGAGCAUUUAAAAUAAGCAGUUUCCGAUUUUGCCACUGGUAAAGUUAUAAGCUUUUUGUUGUUUUUGUUGGCGGUAAGAAUUUCUUCAAAUUGCGAGCGUUGUUCUCUAGUAGAAGUUAAGCUUACCCUAUACCUAUAGAUUCCUCUAUUGAACUUGAUAUGAACAAUUAGAAAGAUUGGCUAUUCUGCUUCUCUAACUUUUGCCUUCCACAAUUUUUGUCCCACUUGCGUGCUUACAUAAUCAUUAUUAUUUAACAUUUGAUGUUUGUGUGAUGCAUAUAAAAUUAACUUCAGCUUUCAUCUGUGUUGUUUGUGAAGAUAUUGUAUGUUAGAGACUUAGGGUGUGCAUUACAGAUGAACCAACUAAGAAUAAAUUCCUAGCCAUCAUAGAGGCCCUUAAAAAUGCUCAAAAAGGAAAGGUGGGUGAGGGACGG